UGGAGAUAAGGGAGAGAAAGGCGAUAGGGGAAGAAGAGGAAAGAGGGGUGCUAAAGGUGAAUCAGGUGAUCCAGGACAAUUGGGUCCAAGAGGUAAAAGAGGGAAGAGAGGUGAAAAAGGGGAUAAAGGUGAUCAGGGUGUACCAGGACUGGAUGCUCCGUGUCCUCUAGGGCCCGACGGUUUACCUUUACCCGGUUGCGGAUGGCGACCUCCCAUAGGACCAAUACCCCCAGUUUCGCCUUCGACCAUAGACGACCAGGACGACCAAUAAUACAGAAAUAAAAUAACACUACUAAUCACUGCCAUUAAUAAAAUAAUCUGAGUCGAUUCACUUUAACGGUUUCGGCCAAUAAUCCAAGGCAUUUUAUUUUUAGUGACGACGAGUUUGGUAAUUCGAUCGACUGGUUGUCCAGGUGGAAAAAUUAGUUUUAAGAAAAUCUUACCAAGAAUUUGAUACGGUUAAAGUAAUAUUACAAAUUAGCAGCAUUUCUAGAUGUAAUGGAGAGGAGACAACUGGCGGAAUUAGUGCCAUUAUGGAAGUUUUGGUGGUGGAAAAAUUCGAGGUCUACCAGAAACAGUAGCUUUUCUAAUGUGGUAAACAUUUGCAGUUUUUGUGCCGUACCAACUGCGGUUACGCCCGGAUUAAAUGGAUGGUGUACUAACAGAGAUUUUACAGAGUUAAUUGUUUUGUUGUAUAAAUUAGUGCCAAACUGUUUUUAAACAAAUGUCGGAUAACAGGUUAAAAAAUGUUUGCUACGACAUAUCACCAUAUUCGAUUCGCCUCUUACAUCUUUAAGAAAAAAUUAUGGUCGUUUUCUAGAUUUAUUUUCUAUGUACAUUUUUACCGAGCAGGAUGUAAAUAUUUCUAGUCUGUCUUCGGAGCUACUGUCCGAUUCGUUUUUUAAACCAGCUGGUAGUAGAAGAUCUACGUUUUCCCACUAAUGUACAAGGUGCUACGUUUUACAUUCGGCUGAUCGGACUCGGGCCAUUGGUUACUAUCCCGGCCAGAUUUAUCGUCUCUCGGAUUAAUGCGUAUUUAUUGCCUACCAAAAUAUACUACUUAGUACGUACAGCCAUCGAGUAUGCGUGAAAAAGAGCGUAUUCGCACUUAAGUUAUUUCGCUUUAGUACCGAGCAACCAUUCCACCAUUACUUUUUACCUCGUGAAUCAAUUUUAAAACUCCCAGCUGGUUUUUAAAUUUUUACACGGUUGGUCAGAAAUCGAAACCCGUUAGUAUUUUGCAUUCGGUGAAUGUAAUUGCCGAUAUGUUGUGUAAAUAAAUAUCGGAAACCACACUCUUCUGGAAGAAAAACCCAAAUGUCAUUUGUACAUCUUUUUGUGUAUUUUUUUUUCUUUUUGUUUUGUACAAUUCCACGUGUAGUUGUAAUAUUAAAUGUGAUCCUCCAUUUAGUAUUCAGUUUUGUUUUUAGUCAUUUUAAUGCCUUCCGACCGGAAGUAUCGAUAAAUAGUUAAAAGACAGACGAAAAAAUUACGGAUAAAUAUUUAGCGCGUCGAAACAGUCGGGUUAAGUUUAGCGUGGUGGCUAAACCGGUCGAUAAGAUUUCCGACGGUAACAAACGUCAGUUAAAAGAGAAUGCCCACUGGGCAGUUAGGUUAUCGACUAUCCCUAUAAAUAUUUGAUUAAAAAAUUAUAAGGCGUUAAAGGUUAGGCGGAUGUAUAAGAGGAGGAAAGACGGUACCACCCGAGUCUUAGAAAACCCAUCCGGUUUAUUCUACAGAAAACACGCUAGAAGUAGUUGGAACUGGCUGCCGAGACGACCGUUUCUAUAUUUACUUAGGGGCCUGGUCCAGCAAAAAUAUAAUUCUCUUUAAUGUUAUAUUCCGAAGUGAUAAAAAUUAGCUUUUAAAUUAUUCUUACACAAAAUGCAUUCGCGUAAGAAUAAUUUUUCUUACACAAAUGCUUUCCGUAAGACGAAGUAGACAUUUUUAACGGGACCAGAAUAAAAGCUUUUAGAAUUAAAUUUAAGCGCUCUAAACGCUUUACCGUAAUUUAAGUAAGCAGUUC
rnacentral:lncRNA from 1 species